UUUCAAUUUCAAGGUCAGAAUCAUAUAAUGUGACUAGGGGUUUGGAUAAGAUCCACAUUGCAUCCGGCGUCGGCCAGCUCUUUUGCUUUUGUUCUCUUCCCAUCUUCGUUUCGACGAGAAAUGGUGGAAAUCUUGUUUCCCAUUUACGUGGAGAUUCUCUGUCCCAAUGAUCGUGACUACAAUCGACGGAAACUCUCGAAUUCCCCUGUUUUUCGGAGUAAUCUUUCUUGAAUCUCUUCUGGCCAUAUGUGGGGGCAAUUAUCAGCCAGAAACAUUAUGUGGCAGUUAAAUCUUCGCGAAUUCGUGAACAGCGAUGGUUUUGCUUUCGUUUUCUUCAUUAAAGAUAGCCAUGGAUGGUGAUUGGAGUUACCUGUGACGGUGUUGACGAUCGAUACGAUCACUGAGCUAAGGUAGUAGCCCAUAGCCAGAGAAGCCCAGGAAAGAGAUGUGGCCAAGGAUCUCAUGCUUGCAGG